CGCUUCCCGCGGGGCCUCAGCCCACCCGGGCGCCUCCAGAGCCGCCGCGAUGACCUGGCCCCCGGCCCGGGCCUGGCGCCCUCGGCCACCCUGGUGUCGCUCUCAUCCGUGUCCGACUGCAACUCCACGCGUUCGCUGCUGCGCUCCGACAGCGACGAGGCCGGGCCGGCUGCGCCCUCCCCGCCCUCGCCCUCUCCCUCGCCUUUGCCCUCGCCCUCGGCCUCACCCGGCACCAACCCCCUGGUGGACCUGGAGCUGGAGAGCUUCAAGAAGGACCCCCGCCAGUCGCUCACGCCCACCCACGUCACGGCCGCGCGCGCUGUGAGCCGAGGACAUCGGCGGACGCCGUCGGACGGGGCGCUGGGGCAGCGGGGGCCUCCGGAGCCCGCGGGCCACGGCCCUGGCCCUCGGGACCCCCUGGACUUUCCCCGCCUGCCUGACCCCCAGGCCCUGUUCCCUACCCGUCGCCGGCCCCCUGAGUUCCCUGGCCGCCCCACCACCCUGACCUUCGCCCCAAGACCCCGGCCAGCUGCCAGCCGCCCCCGCCUGGACCCCUGGAAACUGGUCUCCUUCGGGCGGACGCUCAGCAUAUCACCUCCUAGCAGGCCAGACACCCCGGAGAGCCCAGGGCCGCCCAGCGUGCAGCCCACGCUGCUGGACAUGGACAUGGAGGGACAGAGCCAGGACAACACAGUGCCCCUCUGUGGGGCCCAGGGCCCCCCCUGAGGCCUGCCCCCCACCGCCCGCCUGGGCAGCCAUGAAUGUAGCGCCCCAGGCCCCGCCCCAGCCUGCCGUGCCCCAAGGCGCAAAGGCCCUGGGCAGGAUGCUCACUAUUUAUUGGGGAAGGAGGGAGGGAGGGACUCUUAAUUUAUUCCUUUGUACCCCAGGGGUGGGGCUCUGUGCCCACCCUGCUGUGGGGGGGAGGGCGGGCAGGGAUACUCAGGGACAGGGCAACGUGGGGGAUUUGGCACAAGAUGAAGCAUUAAAGGUAACCCCUGCCCCCUACCGCGCUUGGCUGUGUGUCUUUCCCCAGUCUAGGCCCUGAUGCAAGCCUGUCCCCA
rnacentral:lncRNA from 1 species